rnacentral:pre_miRNA from 1 species
UAAAUACUCCCUCCGUUCGACAAAAAAUGUUUCAAGUUCGUCAAAAUUUGGAUGUAUGUAGGUAUGAUUUAGUGUAUAGAUGCAUUCAAAUUUAAUCAAAGUUGAGAUAUUCUUUGUUGGACAGAGAGACUAAUGA